rnacentral:misc_RNA from 1 species
AAUCAAGCUUGUUGAUUAUGAUUCAUCUCAUGAUUUAAUAAUUAUUGUCAACACCAUCAGAAUUAUUUAAUAAAAAUGUUUAGACUUCUGUUGUAAUGAUCACCAAUUGAAUUUCAAGGCAGCACUCAUGGGGUGAACUACGUCUAAUUCAAUUAAAAAUAUAGAACAUUACAUGGUGCAGUCCAAUAUAAGUUGGAUAUCUAUCAAAUCUAUGAUGACUACUCAAUUAAUAAGGAACAAAGAGUACUGAUUACAGUUAUUUCUUUUCACUCCUUCUCCGAAGGCCAAAGAAAGGCUCCCAUGGCAAACUUUCUAUUUUGAUCAACAUCUCCGACGAUGGGCAGCCCAUACUCCUUGAGCAAGCACUCCAACUUCCAUGCAGGCAUGGUCUCAUAGUCGCUCUUCUUGAAUCUUGGAUAGUGCAGUGGCAUCUGGAAGCAGGAGCACUUGUCUCUCUUGCUUUCUUGAUGAUAGUAUCCAUUCGGCCUCAUGCCGGGCACAGCACAGGCAUUGUUGGAGCAAGCUGUUCCACUCAUCUUCACCUCUCAACUACGAUCUUUGAUUGCAAAAGCCAGUGGCUAGUUAGCCUUUUAUAGACAACCCUGGAGUAGAAAGCAAAGCAACUUAGCGUUUACUAGAACAAGACAAGCAUAGAGAUCUAAUUAAUGUCUUGAAAAUGAACUAUCUACGACUGGAACAUUAUUGAGAUUUUUGUUUCUUUCACUAUGGUUUUGAUUUCUAGGACUGAGAGCCCGUGCAUCUUGCAAGAGAGGCCAUCACGUCCGCGUAUCUUGCAAGGGAGGCUACCUAUCAUAAUCCAAAUUAAAUGCCCAAAGAAAUGUGGUUGGAUUUUUUUUUCUUUUUUUUU